GUAGUCUGCAACCCGACUACAUGAAGCUGGAGUCGCUAGUAAUCGCGCAUCAGCCACGGCGCGGUGAAUACGUUCCCGGGCCUUGUACACACCGCCCGUCAAGCCAUGGAAGCCGGGAGUGCCUGAAGUGCGUGAGCGCAAGCAGCGCCCUAAGGUAAAACCGGUGACUGGGGCUAAGUCGUAACAAGGUAAC
rnacentral:rRNA from 1 species